GUGCAAACGCACCGAUUUGGCGCCGUUGGGAAAGUUUGCGAAGAGGUGCAUUGUGCGUGGUCUGAACGAAGAAGGAACAAGAAAGGGUAUCGUGGCCUAGAUUGCCGUGCCCUAGCGCCAUCUUCUGCAGCGCAAGCUGCGCCCUUAACUUCUGCGUUCUUCACACGCACAUAAGCAUCUCCAACAAAACUCAUGUACACAGUCUCACACACUUCCCCGAUGGCGAACGGCUACAGCGUACUCGGUGUGCCGGUUGACGUGUCGAUUUGGACGUUGAUGGUGAUUAUCACGGCGCUGGUGGUGCUAGCGGGGUUAAUGGCGGGCCUCAUCAUCAGCGUCUUCUCGCUCGACAAGGAUCGGCUGAAGGUGCUCGCACAGCGAUCGGAGACAGUGGAGGGGCAACGCGCGCGCCGGCUGCUGCUCGUCUUGCAGAAUCCGCACUGGGUACUCGUUACUCUCGUCGUUGUCGACUCCGCCGCAACUGAGAUGCUGCCGCUGUUGUUCAAUGUCCUUUUUUCCCCCGUCGAGGCAGUCAUCAUGUCCGUGAUCCUGCUGGUCGUCUGCGGGGAGAUCAUACCCGAAGCAGUGUUCACGCAUCACGCACUGGCGCUGGGCUCAGCGUUGGCUUAUCUAGUGCUGGUGCUAAUGGCAGUCACAGCACCAAUAUCGUGGCCCGUUGGGAAAGUGCUAGACUGGUGCGUUGGGAGCCGAUCAGGUGUCGCCUUCAAGCGUGGCCAGCUGCGCGAGGUGGUCCGAUAUCGAGCCGCCCAGCUUUAUGGCAUCCAUGGAGACGAUGACGACGAGACCGCGCCGCCGCGCGAGAGCAGCCUGGACACACGAGAGCCGCGCUUGAUGCACCAGCUUGAGACCCAAAUAAUGCUGGGGGUCUUGAGCCUAUCGGAGUACGUCGGGUCCUCUGUGUUGAAGAAGAGCAUUCGGGCAACUUUCACUGUCCAUCGUGACGCCGUUGUUAGCAAGCGGAUGGUACAGAGCAUGGUGACGCACAAACUAACUCACAUUCCCGUGUACAGCGACGUCGGAAACCCAUCUAACGUCACGCAAGUGUUGGAGCUUCGGCUUUUGCUCUUCUUUGCUUACUGCGAGGAAGGAGCUUCGAUUCGCAUCCGGGAUCUCCCACUCCUGCCGCUGCCUCGGUACAGCGCAGACACGCCGUGCAAUUUGCUUCUGGACUACCUCCGUGCUUCUCCUCUCCAGGUAGCCGCGCUCACGAGCCCAGAUAACGCUGCCAGCGUUGUUGGCAUCAUCUCAGCAUCGGACGUAGUGGAGCUUGUGCACAAAACCUCGUUCGAUACCGCCUACGUGGAGUCUCACCGGCCGCAGCAAGGCAGUGUCGUGCAGUCCUUUCGCGCACACAACGCCUCCAUGACUCACGAGACAAACCAGAUGUUACUGAACGACAUGAGCACGUGACGGCGAACGUGGAACGAAGCCGCGCCUGCAUGGUUUUGUCUAGUGUGCCUCUUUUCAUCAAUGUUGCCGCUGCUUUCCUAUUUGCUCACUCAAGUGCACUGGCGUUUAUCUUUUGUUUUGUGUUUGCUCUCUUGCGCUUUCCUCAUCACGUACCGCUGUCUCAGCGACAGCUGCUCCAAGGUUC
rnacentral:misc_RNA from 1 species